rnacentral:piRNA from 2 species
UUCAACAACUUCUUGCAGUUUUCUAGAUGA